rnacentral:rRNA from 1 species
CCUACGGGAGGCAGCAGUCGAGAAUCAUUCACAAUGGGGGAAACCCUGAUGGUGCGACGCCGCGUGGGGGAAUGAAGGUCUUCGGAUUGUAAACCCCUGUCAUGUGGGAGCAAAUUAAAAAGAUAGUACCACAAGAGGAAGAGACUGCUAACUCUGUGCCAGCCGCCGCGGUACUACAGAGGUCUCAAGCGUUGUUCGGAAUCACUGGGCGUAAAGCGUGCGUAGGCUGUUUCGUAAGUCGUGUGUGAAAGGCGCGGGCUCAACCCGCGGACGGCACAUGAUACUGCGAGACUAGAGUAAUGGAGGGGGAACCGGAAUUCUCGGUGUAGCAGUGAAAUGCGUAGAUAUCGAGAGGAACACUCGUGGCGAAGGCGGGUUCCUGGACAUUAACUGACGCUGAGGCACGAAGGCCAGGGGAGCGAAAGGGAUUAGAUACCCCAGUAGUC